UACGUAGGGUGCAAGCGUUGUCCGGAAUCAUUGGGCGUAAAGCGCGUGUAGGCGGCUUGUUAAGUCCGCUCUGAAAGCCCGGGGCUCAACCUCGAGACGCCGGCGGAAACCCCCAAGCUAGAGUCCGGAAGAGGAGAGUGGAAUUCCUGGUGUAGCGGUGAAAUGCGCAGAUAUCAGGAAGAACACCCGUGGCGAAGGCGGCUCUCUGGGACGGUACUGACGCUGAGACGCGAAAGCGUGGGGAGCGAACAGG
rnacentral:rRNA from 1 species